rnacentral:rRNA from 1 species
CCUACGGGCGGCAGCAGUGGGGAAUAUUGGACAAUGGGGGCAACCCUGAUCCAGCCAUGCCGCGUGUGUGAAGAAGGCCCUCGGGUUGUAAAGCACUUUCAGUGAGGAAGAACGCCUGGUGGUUAAUACCCAUCAGGAAAGACAUCACUCACAGAAGAAGCACCGGCUAACUCCGUGCCAGCAGCCGCGGUAAUACGGAGGGUGCGAGCGUUAAUCGGAAUUACUGGGCGUAAAGCGCGCGUAGGUGGCUUGAUAAGCCGGUUGUGAAAGCCCUGGGCUCAACCUGGGAACGGCAUCCGGAACUGUCAAGCUAGAGUGCAGGAGAGGAAGGUAGAAUUCCCGGUGUAGCGGUGAAAUGCGUAGAGAUCGGGAGGAAUACCAGUGGCGAAGGCGGCCUUCUGGACUGACACUGACACUGAGGUGCGAAAGCGUGGGUAGCAAACAGGAUUAGAUACCCGAGUAGUC